AGAGCCCAGCGCCGAAUCCCCGCCCCGCGGUGGGGCACAGGACAUGUGGCAUACAGAAGCCCCCCUCCCCGGCAGCACUCUUGGGGGACCCAAGUCCUUGUGAUCGAGGCUGCAGCCCGUGGACAGUGUGAGGUCCGCAGCAGCCCCCCGGUGCGCUGGGCCUGGGACUUCUCGGAGUCAGGUUGCUUGCGAAUGCAGCCCAAGUGGGUGGUAAACUCCAUCUAAGGCUAAAUACUUUCAAAACAUAGUUGUUUCCUAUAUCUAGCUCAUGC
rnacentral:ncRNA from 1 species